GACGAACGCUGGCGGCGUGCUUAACACAUGCAAGUCGAACGGAAAGGCCCUGCUUUUGUGGGGUGCUCGAGUGGUGAACGGGUGAGUAACACGUGAGUAACCUGCCCUUGACUUUGGGAUAACUUCAGGAAACUGGGGCUAAUACCGGAUAGGAGCUCCUGCUGCAUGGUGGGGGUUGGAAAGUUUCGGCGGUUGGGGAUGGACUCGCGGCUUAUCAGCUUGUUGGUGGGGUAGUGGCUUACCAAGGCUUUGACGGGUAGCCGGCCUGAGAGGGUGACCGGCCACAUUGGGACUGAGAUACGGCCCAGACUCCUACGGGAGGCAGCGGUGGGAAAUAUUGCACAAUGGGCGGAAGCCUGAUGCAGCGACGCCGCGUGCGGGAUGACGGCCUUCGGGUUGUAAACCGCUUUCGCCUGGGACGAAGCGUGAGUGACGGUAAUGGGUAAAGAAGCACCGGCUAACUACGUG
rnacentral:rRNA from 1 species